rnacentral:lncRNA from 1 species
UUACUAAAUUCAAAGACCCGGCUCAUCUUUUAAAAAGAAAAACCGGCUCAUCUUUCAAAAAGAUAACCCGGCUCAUCUUUCAAAAGAUGACCCGACCCUUGGGGGAUACAAGUUGAAAUUUUACUAAAUUCAAAGACCCGGCUCAUCUUUCAAAAAGAUAACCCGGCCCUUGGGGACUACAGGCAAAUAUGGGUUUCACAGAUAGCGCAAAAUACACAAUUCAUCAAAGGAAACUAGUCUUCUGGAAGUUUAAUGGGUGGAAAUGCAAAUAACAAAGGACAUACCUCAUGUCUUAUCCGCAUCAUGUUGGCCAAGCUCUUUUCCAUUUCAUAGCUUGUUUCUAGGUGACUUAUGAAACCAGAGUAGAGUUGUUCAAAUUCAAGUUUCUCAUAAUUGGGAAGCUUCAGCUUGGUAAUGCCCUUUUCUACAAGAGAGUGGGUCUCUUUGGACGCAUGUUUUGUUAACACUGCGGCUGCAGGCUUAGAAUAGCCAAUACCAGUAAUGACUACUGUAUAUGGGUCUUGAGACGCCUUGGAAGAGCUUGGCGGGUUGACAUCUUUAGUUAUUUCCUUUAGAGGGAUCGAAGGAUCAAUCCGAACA